GUAGGUGAACCUGCGGAAGGAUCAUUAAAAAAAGGGUCACAAGACCCAUUUUAAAACCUACCACCACCUAUCAUUUGUGGCCUGUCUAUGGGUGAGAUGGAGGAGGUAUGGUUUUUUAAAAUCCAAUUAUUAUAAAUAUAUAUAUCGUCUAACGACGAAACAAAAAAAUUCUAAAAACUUUCAACAAUGGAUCUCUUGGCUCUCG
rnacentral:misc_RNA from 1 species